rnacentral:rRNA from 1 species
UACGGAGGGUGCAAGCGUUAUCCGGAUUCACUGGGUUUAAAGGGUGCGUAGGCGGGCAUUUAAGUCAGUGGUGAAAUCCCCGAGCUUAACUUGGGAACUGCCAUUGAUACUAUCUCUCUUGAAUAUCUUGGAGGUGAGCGGAAUAUGUCAUGUAGCGGUGAAAUGCUUAGAUAUGACAUAGAACACCAAUUGCGAAGGCAGCUCACUACACGGUAAUUGACACUGAGGCACGAAAGCGUGGGGAUCAAACAGG